AUGCGCGAAUCAGGCCCAAGUCUGGGUUUAAGAAAAAAGGGGCAUUCGUAUCAAAUUCACAAUAUGGCUUUAUUGGAUCUUAAACCGUUACUGUGCGAAUCAAGCGUGAGAAGAAUCUGUUAUUCGAAAUCAUCACAGGAUACUGACUUUUCAUCCCUUUUCCAGAAUCGUGAUGAAUAUGGAAACAAAUCAAUUGCAAGAACAAAAAAUAUGGCAUUAAUCAACUAA